rnacentral:rRNA from 1 species
GUGCCUAAUACAUGCAAGUCGAACGAGGAGCCUUUGUAUUCCUAUGAGGGUUUCCUAGUGGCGAACCGGUGAGUAACGCGUUGGUAACCUGCCCUAAAGAGAGGAAUAACAGUUCGAAAGGACUGCUAAUGCCUCAUGUGGUCGCAAAGUUUAGAUGCUUUGCGAUUAAAGGAGCAAUCCGCUUUAGGAGGGGCCUGCGUCCCAUCAGCUAGUUGGUAGGGUAAUGGCCUACCAAGGCGACGACGGGUAGGGGGCCUGAGAGGGCGAUCCCCCACACUGGCACUGAAACACGGGCCAGACACCUGCGGGUGGCAGCAGUAAGGAAUCUUGCACAAUGGGCGAAAGCCUGAUGCAGCAACGUCGCGUGCGCGAUGACGGCCUUCGGGUUGUAAAGCGCUCUUCGGGGAGAUGAGAAAGGACAGUACCCCCAGAAUAAGUCUCGGCUAACUAUGUGCCAGCAGCCGCGGUAAAACGUAGGAGGCGAGCGUUAUCCGAAUUUACUGGGCGUAAAGCGCGUGUAGGCGGCUCGACAAGUUGGAUGUGAAAUCUCCCGGCUCAACUGGGAGAAGUCAUUCAAUACUGUCGGGCUUGAGGAUGGUAGAGGGAAUCGGAAUUCCCGGUGUAGUGGUGAAAUGCGUAGAUAUCGGGAGGAACACCAGUGGCGAAGGCGGCUUCCUAUGCCAUUCCUGACGCUCAGACGCGAAAGCUAGGGGAGCAAACGGGAUUAGAAACCCCGGUAGUCCUAGCUGUAAACGAUGUGGACUUGGCGUUGGUGGUGUAAAAACUAUCAGUGCCGUAGCUAACGCGAUAAGUCCACCGCCUGGGGACUACGGUCGCAAGGCUAAAACUCAAAGGAAUUGACGGGGGCCCGCACAAGCAGCGGAGCGUGUGGUUUAAUUCCAAGCAACGCUAAGAACCUUACCCGGGUUUGACAUGUUGGUUGUAGGAAUCUGAAAAGUGACCGACCCUUCGGGGAGCCAUCACAGGUGCUGCAUGGCUGUCGUCAGCUCGUGUCGUGAGAAUGUCCGGUUAAGUCCGGUAACGAGCGCAACCCUUGCUGUAUGUUAUACGUGUCAUACAGGACUGCCGGAUAAAGCCGGAGGAAGGUGGGGACGACGUCAAGUCGGCAUGGCCUUUAUAUCCGGGGCUACACACACGCUACAAUGGUCAGCACAAUAGGUUGCAAAGUCGCGAGGCGGAGCCAAUCCAUAAAGCUGGCCUCAGUUCAGAUUGCAGGCUGCAACCCGCCUGCAUGAA